AGUCACUCGACCUGGGGGUCGAGUAUGGUGCUGGAUGCACACGACCUGGUGGUCGAGUAUGUCUUCUGGUUCUGGCUCGUUUCUUCCAAUUUGCUCGCAAACAGCUCCAAAUCACCUGAAAAUAACUGAGAAAUGCAAUAUGUAUGCAAAGCUAUCCUAAUCAUGCAAAGUAUGCAAGAAUGAUGAGAAAUGAUAUAAAAUAGUGAUGAAUGAUACGAAACUGGACUCAAAACGAUGAUGAAUGGACACUGGAAACAUGCAAAUUAUAGACAUAUCAACUCCCCCAAACUUAGUCUUUGCUUGCCCUCAAGCAAAUAAGAAGACAUAGUUGAAGGAGAGGUUUGAAGGCGGGGACUCAGAACCAAAGCAUAUGAUAGAGCAAAUAAAAUCAAUGUCCAAGUUGGUAGUUCUAAGAUGAGAUAUG
rnacentral:sRNA from 1 species